rnacentral:misc_RNA from 1 species
UGUGGGAGCGAGCUUGCUCGCGAUAGCGUUGGUUCGGUUGGCAUUCCUGUCGACUGACCCACCGCCAUCGCGAGCAAGCUCGCUCCCACA